rnacentral:lncRNA from 1 species
CUGAUGUGGAAAUACAAAGCACCCGAGCAAGGGACUAACAGUAGAGGGAUGGGGGAGGAGGGGAAUGCGACUAGGUUACAGGCGAUACUUAGAUGUUAGCCAACUAAGCCCGGGGGUGGGGGGAUGUGGUAAGGGGGAAGGGGAGGGAGGGAGUUCCCGACGCUGAGAGAGAAAGGCGAUAGAUACACACAAACCUGUUACAAUGGUCCGCAAUGGUGGCUUGGAGGAAGUGUCUCAGUCCAUAAAGUCCAAUUGCGGGGGUCCUCUUCGGGUGGAUCGGGGUCGUCUGUGGCGGAAGAAUCCUUUCGAAGUGAAGCAAAGCGGGGGGGCGGUUCAGGCAGUGGUGCCCUCUGGGUCCGGUCUGGUGGCAGCUCGUCUGGUGGGGUGUACUGGUGGUGCUCCACGUAGAUGUUGCGGGACCAGCGGAUGGUGUCGGACACCAUGAGGCAGCGCAUCAGCUUGGCAUAACAGCGGGAGAUGCGGCAGGCACAGAGAAUUCUCUCGUUGCUGGGGUCCCAGGCUCCGAGCGUUCCCACGAUGAGUGUGUCCACCGUCAUGUCGUAGCCGCGGCCCCUCAGGGUGUCAGCCAGCGGGGCGUACUUCUCCCGCUUGCGAGACCGGGCGUUGGUGAAGGCUUGGCGCUGGUUCUCAAAGGGGAUGGUGACGUUCACAAUCACUAUCUUCUUGGCCUCUUGAUCAGUGAUGACGAUGUCGGGGCGCAGCUGGCUCUCAUAACCCGGGAUGGUCCAAUUCACGAAGAUCUCCCCUGCCGCAACCGGGAUGGCUCUCACCAGGCGGCCCUGGACAGCAUUGUGGCAGAGCUGCCAGGCUCUGGUGUGCGGCUUGCAGCUGCACAGCACGUGGGGGAGGGUCUCCGCCGCGUAGCCGCACCAUUAGCACCUCUUGUCCCGGUGGCCGAAGCACACAGCUCCGUUCAGAGGCAGGCAGUUGAGGAGGGCGCGGUGGAGGAAGCGCCAAUCCACGAAGCGCGUGAAGCUCCCGUUGGGCAUGAAGUGGUUGCUAG